rnacentral:rRNA from 1 species
UAACACGUAAACAACCUGCCUUCAGGAUGGGGACAACAGACGGAAACGACUGCUAAUACCGAAUACCUUCCAAUUUCCGCAUGGAGAUAGGAAGAAAGGGUGGCCUCUACUUGUAAGCUAUCGCCUGAAGAGGGGUUUGCGUCUGAUUAGCUGGUUGGUGAGGUAACGGCCCACCAAGGCGACGAUCAGUAGCCGGUCUGAGAGGAUGAACGGCCACACUGGAACUGAGACACGGUCCAGACUCCUACGGGAGGCAGCAGUGGGGAAUCUUCCGCAAUGGACGAAAGUCUGACGGAGCAACGCCGCGUGAACGAUGAAGGUCUUCGGAUUGUAAAGUUCUGUGAUCCGGGACGAAGGCAUCAAUUGAGAAUAUUGAUUGAUGUUGACGGUACCGGAAAAGCAAGCCACGGCUAACUACGUGCCA